CAUGGACACGCUUUGCUACACACUCCUGCUGCUGACCACCCCUUCCUGGGUCUUGUCCCAGGUCACCUUGAAGGAGUCUGGUCCUGCGCUGGUGAAACCCACAGAGACCCUCACGCUGACCUGCACCGUCUCUGGGUUCUCACUCAGCAAUUCUAAAAUGGGUGUGAGCUGGAUCCGUCAGCCCCCAGGGAAGGCCCUGGAGUGGCUUGCACACAUUUUUUCGAAUGACGAAAAAUCCUACAGCACAUCUCUGAAGAGCAGGCUCACCAUCUCCAAGGACACCUCCAAAAGCCAGGUGGUCCUUACCAUGACCAACAUGGACCCUGUGGACACAGCCACGUAUUACUGCACACGGAGAGCACAGAGACACAGCCCAGGAUGCCUCCUGUACAAGAACCCAGGCUGCGUCUCAGUGGUCUCCCUCCCUACCUCUGCAGAACAGGAAAGUGUAACUGAGAUGCCAUUUCCUGCCAGGGCUUGUGUUUCCUAUAGCAACCAGACCCAGAGCCCUUUCUGUUUUCCUAUUCUGUACUAUUAA